rnacentral:lncRNA from 1 species
AUGAAGGCUUGGACUAGAAUGGAAAUAGAAAGGCAGGGAUUUGGAGAAGAAGGUCUCCUGGCCAACUCGGACUUUGAUCAUAAACCACUCCAUUGCUCCUCCCAGAACAAAGAAGAAAGGAAGAAACCUAUAGACACCAAAGCGCUGUUUUCCAGGUAUCCUCCGCAGAAGUUGCUUCACUUGUUUCCUUGUGAACAUCUCCAAGGUGACAGCCAGCAGACUUCAUGGGAAAUAAACUGAAACUACAGAUGGAAAGCAAGAUAUUGUGCAGCUCCUACAACAACCUCAGUUUCUUUUUUUUUUUUUUUUUUCAGCUUUUAAUUUACAAGAAAGCUCACUGAUGCUGCCUUAUGGCUUUUAAAUGGUAACUCCCUAGCGCUCUAGAGCUUUCAUGUUUACAAAACACAAGUCCCAGAAGGUUCCCAGGGGUUGCCCGUCUCACAGCUCCUCAAUUUCAAAGACAAAGGUCAAAGACAGGCCAUUUCUCCUGACUAUAAGUCUAUCCAUCCUAUUGCUCUUUCUACACCCAAAAGCCAAUCUCUAAAACGAAAAGAUCUACUUUGGAUUGUUUUUGUUUUUUUUUUUUUUAAAUCAGCUACUAAACAUAUCUAUUUUCACUUAAGAAAUAGCAGGGUAUUAUAAAAAAGAGUGUUACUGUUUUCUGAGACACUUCUGUCACAUUUGGCAUCAUAUUUUACAAAGGAUAUAGGAUUAUAUGGAGCCAAAAGACAAUACUAAAACUGUAAUUAACUUUUCAACUAAGUAACAAUAUGACCAUGGCAAAGUUACAAUCUCUUGGGGCUACAAAGUCUCUUCAAUUACAAUUUGCAUUCCAUGAUUUAUAGCAACAUAUCAUUGAAGACAAUGGAUGUAACAAUACUAGAGGUUAAAACAGAAGAAAUAAGCAAAUUGAAAGCAAAAGCCAAUGAAUGAAAAAUAAAAUCAGAAGAUUGUUGAGAGAGAUGUAAACCCAGAAAUGUGGGUAGGCUAUUCACAUGCAGGAGCAAAGGAUAACUAAUACUCCAGUGGUGUCCAUGAAAUGGCAAAAGAUUUGAAGGGCAGCUCUCAAUAUGUUGAGAUUUAGGAAAGAAUAAGGACAAAGGAAGUCAGAGAAUGAUGGCAGAGGUUGUGAUGUACCCCUUAAAGGGAGAAUCCAUAAUGAUGAGAUUCCAGGUUGGGAAAAAAAAAUCUAAGCAUAUUAACUAUUAAUUAACUAACCAUUAAUAACAUGUAAAUCAACAAUAACCAUUGCCUUCUAGGUCACCUAUAUUGAUUAUUUUUCAGUUGAACAUUCCAUGAUUUACAGCAACGUUCAUUAAAAAAGAGAAUGUGUUUUUAAAAAAUAGAUUUUAUUGCAGAAAUAACUAAAUUGAAAACAAAAACCAUGAAAUUGAAAAAUGAAACUAGUUUUUUUUGAAGAAAAAACACAACAAACUGUUAGCUAAUUUGAUAGCAGUAAAAAGAGAAUUAAAUUGCCAAAUCAAAAAGGGAAAAGGAAAAUGUAUGAUAAAUUAGGAGAAAUUAUAUAAAGCUCAAUCAUAUGGCAGCAAAACUAUUAGUUAAUAAAAUAUCUACAAAAAUAUAAAACAUACAGAUUAACAAGAUACAGAAUUGACAGAAACCAAAGCCAAAAAAAGACACUGAACAAGCCAUUUAAAAAACAAAAAACUAGAACUAGUUGGAUUUACAAGUGAAUUAUAUUAAACAUUAAAAGAACAAUUAUUAAUUUGAGUAAUAAAUUAGCUGUUUUGCAAAAUAGAGAAAACAUCCUACCAUGCUCCUUCUAUAAGACAAAUAUGAUCCUGAUGCCUAAUCAGGGAGAGAGAAAGCCUAGAAAGAAGAAUACAGACCAAUAUCUCUAAUGAAUAACUACACUAAAAUAUAGGCAAGAAGUUACAACAGAUUAAAAAGAUCAUACAUUAUAACUGGAAUGGAUUCAUACUACAAAUUCAGGGUUGAUGAUAAACAUAAUCAACCAUAUGAAAAAUGGAAAACAGUAAAAAUUCCAUUUAUAUUAUAAAACAUUAAGAAAAGGAAUAAAUAAAUCUCUCCUUAAUAUGGUAAACUGUAUCUGAAACUGAGAACAAUAAUUAUGUAUAAUGGAGAACCACAAAUGGCCUCUCAAAUUACAAUAUCAGUUGCUACCAUUAUUAUUUGAUAUAGUUCUAAAAAUGCUUACUAAAGAAAAAAAAUUAAACAUGACCAAAACCCCCAAAUUAUUAUUUUUGUAGAUACUAUGAUGGCUUACUCAGGGCACCCAAGAGAUUCACCUAAAAAACAACUGAAAUAAAAACUUCAGUAAAAUGGAAGUUUGCAGAAUAAACACAUAAAUAUCAAUUUUUUUUGCAGAAUAACAAGAAAAUCCAACAGGAAGAGAUAGAAAAAUAAAAAUCCAUUCUAAAUAAUGGGAAGGUAUAAAAUAUAAGUCUAUCUAGCCAAAAAAUAUGGUGAACAUGUUCUGAACACCUGAACAUCUACACAUAGAUCUACAAAAUAGAAAUAGAGUUAAAUAAUGUUGGACUGUGCCAAUAUAAUAAAAAUGACAACAGUACCCAAAUUCAGUGCCAUACCAAAUGAAUUGUCAAAGAGUUAGUUUGUAUAGAGGUACAAAAAAAGAGUAACAAAAUUCAUCUGGAGGAAGAAGUCUUAGUCAAGGAUCUCAAAAGAAAGCACUAAAAAAGAGAAGUGAAAAUUAAAAUAUCUCUGUGGUUCCUUCAAACACAUAUUAAACACAAACACAUAUCAAACACAAACAUAUCAUAUCAAAUACAUCAAACAAAAAAGAAAAAAUAGCCAUUGGAGGACUUUCAGAGGACAGGCUUAUUAAUGUACUAUUAGAGGAACUAUAAAUUGAUUCAACCAUUCUGGAAAGCAAUUUGGAAUUAUAGCUCAAAAAUCAUGAUCUUGCAUACCCUUUAACCCAAAGAUACCACUAAUAGAUGGGCAGCAAGGUGGCACAGUGGAUAGACCAUUAGGUCUACAGUGAAUGAGAAUUGAGUUCAAAUCUAGCAUCAGAUACUUACUAUUUAUUACUAGAUAACAAUGUUUGUUCUUCAUUUCUUAUAAAAAUGAACUGAAGAAAAGGGCAAAACACUCCAGUAUCUUUGCCAAGAAAAAGGGAUCCCAUAACUCAACAACUACCUCUGGAUAUGUACCCUAAAAAGUUCAAAGAAAAAGAAAAUAGCAUAUAUAUAUAUAUAUAUAUUUGUGGUAAAAGAUCAUAGAAAAUAGUGGGUAUACAUCAACAGGGCAAUGUUAUCUGAAUGUUAACAGAAUAUUAUUGUGCCAUUAGAAAACAUGAAAGGGAUAGAUUGAGACACUCUGGAGAUACUUGUAUGAAUUGAUACAAAGUGAUCAGAAAAGAAAAACAAUUUUGAAAGACUUAAAAAUUCUGAUCUAAUAACCAAUCACAACUCUAGAAAACAUGUGACAAAUGAUUCCUAUCUCUUAGCAAAGAGACAGUCAAUAGGAAAGAAUGACAUAUAUUUUCAGACACAACUGAUGUGUGAAUUUGUUUUGCUUAACUAGUUUGAAAUUAUGAAGAGUGAGAAUUAGAGAUAGGGGGGUAAUCAGGCAGGAAAGAAAUGACAGAUUAAAAAAAGAACAUCAAUGAAAUAUUUUUAAAAUACACAUACGAAAACAGAAGUUCGGAAGUGAGCACAGAUAAACAGGAUAAUAUAGGUACUACCUUGUUAAAUUUCAUGUGUGUUUUUUGGAAAGAAAAAAUCUACACCUAAUAUUCAGAUUUACAUAGUUCUCUUUUUCUACACUUCAUAUAAAAAUGGUUAUUUGUAUUGAUGUUUUUCAAGUUCCAUUUUUAAAGAAAUUUUUAUUUUGGGAAGAAGCUUGGGAUUACUGAGAAAGUGUAGUAUGCUUUUCCUGCAGCAAUCCAAAGACUUUCCCUAUUUAGGAAGGCAGCUUGGUAUUGAGCUCAGUAUCAAGAAGAUCCCAGUUUAAAUUCUAUUUCAAAUAUAUACUGGCUCUUUGACCCUGGACAAAUCACUUACUCUCUCAGCUUCAGCUCUCAUCUGUAAAAAGGAGCAAACAGCAUCUAACUCACAGUUAUGUCACUUAACCCCGUUUGCCUUAGUUCAUGUGUAAAAUGAAUUGGAGAAUGAAAUGGCAAACCACUCCAGAAUUAUUUGCCAAGAAAACCCAAAAUGGGAUCAUGAAGACUCAGAGGGCAUAGGGCUGGAUCAAAUGAAAUAAGCACUUUUCAAACCCUCAGAUAAAUAUUAGUUUAAUACUGUAUCACUUACUAUUGUUCAGCUCAAUGUAUCCACAUAUAUGUAUAUAUUACUAAACAACAUACAAUUUGGUUCUGAUUAUUGGCAAUAAAUAAUUCCUAGGAAGCGCUCUCAUUACUCUCAUUAGAAUUGCAUAUUUACAUUAGACUGGAGCCAAUUACUAUCUGCCCAUUCUAGGGGGAUCAUCAAUCGCCCUAGCACUAGUACCAGGUCCUAAAAAAUUACUUUAAAAUUUACUAAUUUUUUAGUUUAAAAAAUUGCUUUUGCUGGAACGUGAAUGAGGACGAAAACGGUCUGGCCAAGGUUGAGAGGGAAGGCAGAAGAGAAGAGCUGCACAGGAUGGAUGGUUAUUUCAGUGACCUCACAAAUCCACUAGAACACUGAAGGUCCUU